AGCGAACGCUGGCGGCAGGCCUAACACAUGCAAGUCGAACGAACCUUUCGGGGUUAGUGGCGGACGGGUGAGUAACACGUGGGAACGUGCCUUUAGGUUCGGAAUAACUCAGGGAAACUUGUGCUAAUACCGAAUGUGCCCUUCGGGGGAAAGAUUAAUCGCCUUUAGAGCGGCCCGCGUCUGAUUAGCUAGUUGGUUGAGGUAAUGGCUCACCAAGGCGACGAUCAGUAGCUGGUCUGAGAGGAUGAUCAGCCACAUUGGGACUGAGACACGGCCCAAACUCCUACGGGAGGCAGCAGUGGGGAAUCUUGCGCAAUGGGCGAAAGCCUGACGCAGCCAUGCCGUGUGAAUGAUGAAGGUCUUAGGAUUGUAAAAUUCUUUCACCGGGGACGAUAAUGACGGUACCCGGAGAAGAAGCCCCGGCUAACUUCGUG
rnacentral:rRNA from 1 species